rnacentral:rRNA from 1 species
UAGCUUUAGGGCUAGCCUCAGGUAGGAGACAUGCGGGGGUAGAGCACUGGUUGGGCUAGGGGCCUUACCGGGUUACCGAACCCGUUCAAACUCCGAAUACCGCAUGUUGGUGCCUGGGAGUCAGACGGCGGGGGAUAAGCUUCGUCGUCAAGAGGGAAAGAGCCCAGACCGCCGGCUAAGGUCCCCAAGUUCAGGCUAAGUGGGAAAGGUUGUGGGGUUGCUAAGACAGCCAGGAUGUUGGCUUAGAAGCAGCCACCAUUCGAAGAGUGCGUAAUAGCUCACUGGUCGAGUGACCCUGCGCCGAAAAUGUAACGGGGCUAAGCCUGACACCGAAGCCGCGGAUGUCCUCGAAAGAGGGCGUGGUAGGGGAGCGUUCCUCGUGCAGGGAAGGUGGACCGGAAGGUCUGCUGGAGCGCGGGGAAGUGAGAAUGCCGGUAUGAGUAGCGAAAAGACAGGUGAGAAUCCUGUCCGCCGAAAGCCUAAGGAUUCCUGAGCAAGGAUCGUCCGCUCAGGGUAAGUCGGGACCUAAGUCGAGGCGUACAGCGUAGACGAUGGACAAUCGGUUGAAAUUCC